ACUGAGUUUACGCUCUACAACCCUUUGUGAACAUACCUACAACUGUUGCUUCGGCGGGUAGGGUCUCCGCGACCCUCCCGGCCUCCCGCCUCCGGGCGGGUCGGCGCCCGCCGGAGGAUAACCAAACUCUGAUUCAACGACGUUUCUUCUGAGUGGUACAAGCAAAUAAUCA
rnacentral:misc_RNA from 1 species